AGGGUUCGAUUCUGGCUCAGGAUGAACGCUAGCUACAGGCUUAACACAUGCAAGUCGAGGGGCAGCAUGAUCGAAGCUUGCUUUGAUUGAUGGCGACCGGCGCACGGGUGAGUAACGCGUAUCCAACCUUCCCUAUAGUAGAGAAUAGCCCGGCGAAAGUCGGAUUAAUGCUCUAUGUUGUAUUUAGAGGACAUCUGAAGAAUACCAAAGGUUUACCGCUAUAGGAUGGGGAUGCGUCUGAUUAGGUUGUUGGCGGGGUAACGGCCCACCAAGCCGACGAUCAGUAGGGGUUCUGAGAGGAAGGUCCCCCACAUUGGAACUGAGACACGGUCCAAACUCCUACGGGAGGCAGCAGUGAGGAAUAUUGGUCAAUGGACGGAAGUCUGAACCAGCCAAGUAAGCGUGCAGGAUGACGGCCCUAUGGGUUGUAAACUGCUUUUAUAUAGGGAUAAAGUCGGGGACGUGUCCCCGUUUGUAGGUACUAUAUGAAUAAGGACCGGCUAAUUCCGUGCCAGCAGCCGC
rnacentral:rRNA from 1 species